UGUUUUGAGCAUGCAGUAUACCAAGAGGUUAACAAGGUGCUCUCCUGCACCUGAGUUUACAUUCACCACUCAAAAUCACACGCACAAACACAACUAAUAAUUUCUUUCAAGAUUUAAAGUUUAAGAAGUUUAAGAGAGUGAGUACUUAAUUGAACAACAUGUCAUUAACAUGCCUUAGUCUUUGCUCCUCCUUGAGUUUCUCCCGCGGUUGUGUCUGUUUGAAAAUCUUCUUCUGUUGCUAACUUGGGGACUCUUUGGGGUAAAUAGUAUGUCUAUGCAGCGAAUAGGGUUACAGAUGCGCUCCUUAGCGCCAUCUAUCGUCGGGGAGUUUGAAAAGGAAUGAAGGCGCUUCGGCCCAAAAUCAGAAUUAUUAUUUUUUUCGCCGUGAGAAAUUGGUUGUGUGGCGUGAGUGCGUGUGAAAACAUGCAAAAGCGUGUGUCACACGGCAAAACCGUGAGAGUUGGUCGCUCUGAAUUAGUGAUGUACGUUGUGGCUAAAAUGUCUGCAGUUGUUUCGGGCAGACGCGCUCUCAGUCCGCUGGUGCGCGCGCACACGGACACGUGCCGUGUUCUGCCUCAUCUGUACAAUCUCUCUCUUAGGGGAUCUCCUCCCGCUGCAUGCCGCCUAUCGGAGGGACGCCUUUUACGGCUACUUGUCCUGCCCCAUCCCCGCCACUGGUCGUUGUAUCGGUGGCUGAGCCAAGACUCAGACUAACCGUGACUUUGGAGCGACCCGGAUGUACCUGUGGGGAAGACCGUCUGCGGUAAAAGUUUAACCCUCAAACAGAUCACUUGAUAAUUGCCGAUGGAGGACAGUCGCACAGCAGGGCGCCCGGCUGGAAACGGGUCCGCCUGGCCGGCCGAACUUCACUGACCUCCGAACUGCUGUCCAGGGAGAUUAGCGGUCUUAUCCGUGUUUCUUCAACAUCAAAUGCGUGGUCCCUGCUACAAACAUUUUCUGUUCCAUAGGCACGCAGACAGCAACAUUGAAAUUGUGAGCAUGACGGACCGUUUCUACUCUGGUCCGUGAUGUGAAGCAGUUACGAGGCCAGCUGGACGCAGUCGUUGAUGACCUGGUCCCAAGAGCGCCAGAGGUCUACAAAGCUACAGAUACUAAAGACAUUUUGAACUGCCUCAAAGAUGUAUGAGGUUGCUUAUUAUUUGUAAGUCCAUUUUACAAUUACUUUUAAGGUUUUUCUGUCUGACCCUUUUGUGAAUAUUCUCUUUAACUCCACAGACUAUCUUGUUUAAAUACAGUAUAGAGGUUGUUAGAUAUCUGCAUGUUAUAAUGUAAAACUAUUCAUUCUAAUGUGAGAAUAAUUAUAAUUUUUGCAACAAGACAUGGUGUUUCUCAUAGCUAUAAAUUGUCAUUUGAAACAAUCCAUACUUUUAAGUAAAAUUAACUAGGAAAGUAAUUUUAACUCAAAUGAGCGAGUUGAAAUAAUUACUUAGACCUAGUAAACACAAUGCAUGAUCUCUGGAGCUGUGGACGCAUCCCACCGUCAGGCUGGAAUCUGGUUGGGAACCAUUGUAGCAGACUAGCUGCUCUUUAGCAUGUUGGACACAUCAGCAUGACACGGUUACAGAAAAUGUAUUUCCCGCCAAAUAACACUGGUUGCUGAAGCCUGUUUUGGGAGGAGGGUGUUUUAAAACUGUGACCGUGAACUGAGAGAAUAAACAUGUCCCUCAAUAUGUAGAUAAGAUUGCAGUUUAGUGACACUGGAAUGUUUGGACAGGUUGUCUCCAGUGGCAGAGAGACACCUUUUACUUGAAAUACAAUAUUGUAUCGUAAAGCACAUUCCAUCUAUGCAGCUUCCUGAUCCUGAGCACUUUGUUGGUGCCAAAGUGUGACACUUGUGUUAGUGAGUCCACCUCUUCACUCUGCUGCUACUGAUGCAUCCGGCUUCGCUGUCCCGGUAACUGAGAAUACUCUUCUUAUAAUAAAAAUUGAAUGUUUAACAAUCAUUUUCUCUUGGAAAUAAAAUGUGCAAUCGAGAAGCUGCCCUAAAAUAAGGCUUUGAGGUGGGACUAACAUGGACACAAUCAGUGAUAACUUAAGGCUUAUUUUUUUCAAAAUAGUAACAAAUGUGACAGCAAUAAUUUUGUGGGGAAAUUUGGACUCUUUGGGCAGAAUUCUUACCUGCAAGUCCGCUUUGCUCCGUGAAAAGUACAAGACUUGCCAUAGAGAAGAGUCAGAUAUCCGUGUAGCCCCCCGCAUGUCAACUGCGGUCAAAGAACCUGUCCACUUGCCAUUGUACCACUUUAUUUGGGGUCGUCGUGGCGCAGGGGGUAGAGCGGGUGCACUGGGAACUGCAAGUUUGGUGAUUCGAGUCCCGGCUGCCCCAUGUCUCAAGUUGAAGUGUCCCUAAGCAACACCACGACACCUAACCCUUUUUUGAAUAAAAGCGUCAGCUAAAUGACCUGUAAUGUAAUGAAAUCUUCAUCCUUUGACCUCUUCGGUUUACAUUCAGGAUUGAAGUUGGCCAAAUAAUGAUUAUAUACAAAGAAACCAAAAGUGAAUUUGAAAUACAUCUGUAAUAACCGUCAUAAAUAGCGUAAACAAAGUUAAAUAUAAUUAAAUCUAUGGUUUAAAUACAUGUAUUCGCACGUUUACUCUGCGUCUCCUUGAACUGUCUCUGCUCUGCCUUCACUGACACAAUGCGUGGAAGAUAAAUAUCUGAUCCAAGAGCAACGAGUGUGCGUGUUGUCAACUAUUGGUGCUAACACAUCCCGUCGGACCAGGAUUAUUUAUUUAUAUCCAUUAACUUUUAACCGCUGGCUUCGCAGACGGAUUUAUAGCAUACACACGUUCCAUUGCGUUGACUCUUACUGUGAAAAUCUGCGUACUUCCGGUUUAUUGGCUCCGCUUCGUAUUUUCGUCUUAUGGGAAAAAAAACCAAAAGGAUUAACGGAGUAAAAAGUUGUCAGUCUGUCUCGCUUUUUGGUUCUAAAGGAAAAACGAGAAAACUGCGGUUCAUUUCCGUUUUACCGCUUUUGAUUAAAAACGAGAAAAUAAUGUUUUCGUUUUCUGGUUUUUACGGUAAAGGGGACUAUGAAAAGGUCCCUUUUCUUUUUUUUACUUCUUCCUGCUUGUCUCACAAGAACUCCACUCUUCCCUUCCUUGCUGAAGGGGUCUGGCCUGGAACCCGCCUCAGUCUCUCUGCAGCUGCAGAGAGAUGAUGUUCUUUUGUGUUUUAUAAUGCUGCAGACCACCAAACAAUAAAUGCCCAAUGUUAUCCUAUUACUUGAAGACUGUGGAUUAGUGGAGAGCAGGUCGUCCUGCACACCUUCCCUCACAAACCACUUCCUGUCUUUGUUCAGUUUCCCGCUCUUUUCCCCACACUUGAAUUCAUUCAGUCAUACUAUACAUCACAUAGUCUUUAUCUGAACCCCAACCACUAAAGUUAUCUUAUAAUCACAAAAUGUAGUGAGUAUUUAUUCCUCGACGUUUGUUACGUUACUGACUUAGAAAGUGAUAUUUCAGGUUCAUAACUCUUUGAGCUCAAUUUGAUCCAUUUCUGUUAAGUAUAAAGUAUCUAUAGUUUGAUGGAAACUUAACAGCAGUUUGUUGUCUAAUGUGUAUCUAAAAACACAUCGGUUACCAGCUUAACUUAAUCAAUUAAAAAAAGAAAUCGAUCUAUCGAUAGAUAUUCGAAUGAAUUCUAGUAUUAACUUAUAUUUAAGUCAAAUCUUCCUCCGCUGCCGGCUGACAUGUCUCCAUCCUGGAUCAGGUCACAAUGCAUGAUGGGAUACGAUGGGCCGCAAAGGAAACAUCAGAUGUGUCCUCCAUAAGGCGCCUGUUGGGCUGCAUCUUUACAUGUCCGCAUUUGGAGGAGCCGACUGAACGGGAGAGUUGAGUCGCAGACAAAGUGACGAGCAGCCUCCCCCGGAGGAUGCAGCCGACCAAAUGAGACACGGCCGCGUGCCCUCGGGCAAGACGCUUAACGCCUACUGAUUGGCAGGUGUCACUGUGUGUGGUCGCUCCUGUUAUCAGUAAUGGAUGUGAAUGAGAGCUUCAAGUUGUCAGAAGACUAGAAAAAAAAAUGAACUCUACAAAAACAGCCCAGUUAUCAAUAGUGAUUUUUUUGCAUAAAACACAUCAUUUAAAUAAAUAAGAUUGUUGUUGCUAAGUAGUUUUAAUUUCAUAUUAUGCUUGACAUUAGUGUUCGGAAGUCUUGUUAUGUAUUUUGUAUUGCUGCGCGUCGCGCCUAACAACACCCCGAACUUACAUUACUGAAGAUAAAGUACUGCCUCAAGUAUCUUAUUGCUUUAAUACGGGGUCGCUGCGGUAGAGCGGGUGCUUGGUAAAGGUUGGUGGUUUGAGUCCCGACUGCUUCAUGUCCCAUGUCGAUCGCCACCGAGCUAAAAGCUCAAAUCUAACCUGUUACUUUGAGUGCGCAGUGAUACGGAACGCUCGGGUCAAUGUGAACAGCAACUGUACAUUAUCAUGACUCCCUCUCAACCAAUCAGAACGCUGGGUUUCAUCUACCCGUAUUAUAAAGUCUAUAUAUAAUACCUCUAUCUAUUAAUGCCCAUCUUCUCGUGGCAUAUUUCUACUGGAGGCAUUAACGAUCAGUAAUAAAACUUGAGGCACCACUAUGAAGCUUUAACUAUGUAAUUAAUCUGCAACACCCCCUCAAUUCAGCCCUCAUAAAUGACAUUAUAUUGACCUGAGCUUUUCCUACAGUUACAUGUGACGUGAGAAAUGUGGGAUUUUAUCAUUAAGAAUUACAAAAAGUGUACAUCAAGAUAUAUCUGCUACUGAUUUAAAUUAUUCAGAAUAAGAAUUUGGUGGGUAUAAGGGAUGAGGUUACGUGUGUCUGAAAAC
ensembl:lncRNA